GAAGGUGGUUGGAGCUCCCGGA
rnacentral:siRNA from 1 species